UAGGGAAUCUUCCACAAUGGACGCAAGCCUGAUGGAGCAACGCCGCGUGAGUGAAGAAGGUUUUCGGAUCGUAAAGCUCUGUUGUUGGUGAAGAAGGAUAGAGGCAGUAACUGGUCUUUAUUUGACGGUAAUCAACCAGAAAGUCACGGCUAACUACGUGCCAGCAGCCGCGGUAAUACGUAGGUGGCAAGCGUUGUCCGGAUUUAUUGGGCGUAAAGCGAGCGCAGGCGGAAUGAUAAGUCUGAUGUGAAAGCCCACGGCUCAACCGUGGAACUGCAUCGGAAACUGUCAUUCUUGAGUGCAGAAGAGGAGAGUGGAAUUCCAUGUGUAGCGGUGGAAUGCGUAGAUAUAUGGAAGAACACCAGUGGCGAAGGCGGCUCUCUGGUCUGCAACUGACGCUGAGGCUCGAAAGCAUGGGUAGCGAACAGG
rnacentral:rRNA from 2 species